GACGAACGCUGGCGGCGUGCUUAACACAUGCAAGUCGAACGUGAUUUUUGUGGAAAUUCUUUCGGGAAUGGAAAUGAAAUGAAAGUGGCGAACGGGUGAGUAACACGUGAGCAACCUACCUUACACAGGGGGAUAGCCGUUGGAAACGACGAUUAAUACCGCAUGAGACCACAGAAUCGCAUGAUAUAGGGGUCAAAGAUUUAUCGGUGUAAGAAGGGCUCGCGUCUGAUUAGCUAGUUGGAAGGGUAAAGGCCUACCAAGGCGACGAUCAGUAGCCGGUCUGAGAGGAUGAACGGCCACAUUGGAACUGAGACACGGUCCAAACUCCUACGGGAGGCAGCAGUGGGGAAUAUUGCACAAUGGGGGGAACCCUGAUGCAGCGACGCCGCGUGAGCGAAGAAAGGUUUUUCGAAUCGUAAAAGCUCUGUUCCUAUGAGAAAGUAAAUGACGGU
rnacentral:rRNA from 1 species